rnacentral:rRNA from 1 species
UACGGAGGGGGCUAGCGUUGUUCGGAAUUACUGGGCGUAAAGCGCACGUAGGCGGCUUUGUAAGUUAGAGGUGAAAGCCCCAGGGCUUAACCCUGGAAUUGCCUUUAAGACUGCAUCGCUAGAAUCGUGGAGAGGUGAGUGGAAUUCCGAGUGUAGAGGUGAAAUUCGUAGAUAUUGGAAGAACACCAGUGGCGAAGGCGACUCACUGGACACAUAUUGACGGCUGAGG